rnacentral:rRNA from 1 species
CUACGCACUCCUACGGGAGGCAGCAGUGGGGAAUAUUGCACAAUGGGCGCAAGCCUGAUGCAGCCAUGCCGCGUGUAUGAAGAAGGCCUUCGGGUUGUAAAGUACUUUCAGCAGUGAGGAAGGUGGAUAUGUUAAUAGCAUAUUCAUUUGACGUUAGCUGCAGAAGAAGCACCGGCUAACUCCGUGCCAGCAGCCGCGGUAAUACGGAGGGUGCGAGCGUUAAUCGGAAUUACUGGGCGUAAAGCGCAUGCAGGUGGUUUGUUAAGUCAGAUGUGAAAGCCCGGGGCUCAACCUCGGAAUUGCAUUUGAAACUGGCAAACUAGAGUACUGUAGAGGGGGUAGAAUUUCAGGUGUAGCGGUGAAAUGCGUAGAGAUCUGAAGGAAUACCGGUGGCGAAGGCAGCCCCCUGGACAGAUACUGACACUCAGAUGCGAAAGCGUGGGGAGCAAACAGGAUUAGAUACCCUGGUAG